rnacentral:rRNA from 1 species
CCUACGGGUGGCAGCAGUGAGGAAUAUUGGUCAAUGGACGAGAGUCUGAACCAGCCAAGUAGCGUGAAGGAUGACUGCCCUAUGGGUUGUAAACUUCUUUUAUAGGGGAAUAAAAUGGGCCACGUGUGGGAGGAUGUAGGGACCAGAUGAAAAAGGAACGGCUAACUCCGUGCCAGCAGCCGCGGUAAUACGGAGGAUCCGAGCGUUAUCCGGAUUUAGUGGGUUUAAAGGGAGCGUAGGUGGAUUGUUUAGUCUGUUGUUAAAGUUUGCGGCUCAACCGUAAAAUUGCAGUUGAAACUGGCAGUCUUGCGUACAGUAGAGUUGUGCGGCAUUCGUGGUGUAGCGGU